rnacentral:rRNA from 1 species
UACGAAGGGGGCUAGCGUUGCUCGGAAUUAUUGGGCGUAAAGGGCUCGUAGGCGGUCCGUCACGUCGGGAGUGAAAACUCAGGGCUCAACCCUGAGCGUGCUUCCGAUACGGGCGGACUAGAGGUAUGCAGGGGAGAACGGAAUUCCUGGUGUAGCGGUGGAAUGCGCAGAUAUCAGGAGGAACACCGGUGGCGAAGGCGGUUCUCUGGGCAUUACCUGACGCUGAGGAGCGAAAGCAUGGGGAGCGAACAGG